rnacentral:rRNA from 1 species
GACGAACGCUGGCGGCGUGCUUAACACAUGCAGGUCGAACGGAAAGGCCCUGCUUUUGUGGGGUGCUCGAGUGGCGAACGGGUGAGUAACACGUGAGUAACCUGCCCUUGACUUUGGGAUAACUUCAGGAAACUGGGGCUGAUACCGGAUAGGAGCUCCUGCUGCAUGGUGGGGGUUGGAAAGUUUCGGCGGUUGGGGAUGGACUCGCGGCUUAUCAGCUUGUUGGUGGGGUAGUGGCUUACCAAGGCUUUGACGGGUAGCCGGCCUGAGAGGGUGACCGGCCACAUUGGGACUGAGAUACGGCCCAGACUCCUACGGGAGGCAGCAGUGGGGAAUAUUGCACAAUGGGCGGAAGCCUGAUGCAGCAACGCCGCGUGCGGGAUGACGGCCUUCGGGUUGUAAACCGCUUUCGCCUGUGACGAAGCGUGAGUGACGGUAAUGGGUAAAGAAGCACCGGCUAACUACGUG